rnacentral:rRNA from 1 species
UUUUUAGAAAGGGAGCGGGCGGACGGGGUGAUUAAAGGGUGGAUAAACCUUCCUUCAUACACAUUGGAAUUACAUUCCGAAAAGGUAUGUUUAAUACCAAAGAUUAUAUAAGGAGAUUUCGCAUGGAAUUUGUUAUCAAAAGCUCCGGCGGUAUGAGGAUGGACCCGGGUUUGAAUUAGUUAGUGGGUAAGGUAACGGUUUAACAAAGGCGAAGAUCAAGUAGCCGACCUGAGAGGGGUGAUCGGCCACAUUGGAACUGAGACACGGUCCAAAUUCUUACGGGAGGCAGCAGUGGGGAAUAUUGCACAAUGGGCGAAAGCUUGAUGCAGCAACGCCGCGUGAGCGAUGAAGGCCUUCGGGUCGUAAAGCUCUGUCCUCAAGGAAAGAUAAUGACGGUACUUGAGGAGGAAGCCCCGGCUAACUACGUUCCAGCAGCCGCGGUUAAUACGUAGGGGGCUAGCGUUAUCCGGAUUUACUGGGCGUAAAGGGUGCGUAGGUGGUUUUCUUAAGUUCAGGAGUGAAAGGCUACGGCUCAACCGUAGUAAGCUCUUGAAACUGGGAAACUUGAGUGCAGGGAGGAGGAAAGUGGAAAUUCCUAGUGGAGCGGGGAAAUGGGUGAUUUUUGGAGGAAAACCCGUAGGGGAGGGGGCUUUUUUGGAUUUUAACGGGCAGUGGAGCCAGGAAGGGGUGGGAACCAACCAGGAUUAGAUACCUGGUUUUCCACGCGGUAAACGAGGAGUAAUAAGGGUCGGGGGUACCCCCCUCGG